GGUCCUAUAGUCCAACGGCUAAGAUAUCUCGUUUACACCGAGAAGACCAAGGUUCGAUUCCUUGUAGGACCA
rnacentral:tRNA from 1 species